ACGCCUGUCUGGGAAUGACUGGUUCUUAAAAUUUCCAUCGUCGGGUCGCCGAUGCAAUUUGGGGGGGCAAAUGUGAUAGUAUCGGGUUUAUGGGUCACAAACCCGCCUAUAAAAGGGGCACUAUGCGCUACGCUCGCCCCUCCCUCCUGAACGCCGACCGCUGACGUUGCACGCUGGCGGAGCCAAGCUGUCAUGGCCGCAAGACGCGAGGCCCCGAGUGGACCACGUUUAGGCGCACUAAGUUUACUGUUGCAAGGUGUUCAGCGCAGUAAUUGCGGAGAGUGUGCGGGCAUCGUGGGGCUUUUGUGUCUCGGCGCUGGGCGGUCCUCUGCGUGUUUGGGUGGCGUGCCGCGGUGAAUUCUACACGGCUCCUGCUGGCGGGAAGCCUCCCC